GCUGCUGUGGCUCAGAGGCAGAGCACGUCCUUGGUAAGGACGGGGUCAUGGGUUCGAUUCCCAUCAGCAGCU
rnacentral:tRNA from 1 species